AUUGUAUGUAUGUUUAUAAGUACUAUAAAAGUGUUAGCUGUUGAAAAGUCAUUUUAAAACAAACGUGCUAAGUAAUGCAAGCGUCAACCCACCCAAAUUAAAGUGCCUAUUUCGUGGGCAUUGUUUAAAUGCACGAUUCUGGUCCAAGGUUUUUUGGAGAGAGAGAGAGAGAGAGAGAGAAUAUUCAGAUGACAGUAGCGAAGUUUGGAGGAUCAGUGAGUCAUGCGUAGGAAAUACCUGUCUAAUAAUAAGGUCUAUCUAUAAAUAGAACAUAUGCGACAAAGGUGAAACUGGGAUUUUACGUCAGUUUCGGUUAAACUCUGUACAAGCAGUUUUGCAUGAGAAACACCUGUAGACGGAAGGUUGAACCGUGAACAUGGACUAUUUCACUGACAUUGUCAUCUUGUGUUUCUUGCUGGGAUUGAGUAGUGGUCAGGAUGCAGGUGCCACCACAAUGGGACCUACUCCCAUGUCUAAAAUGGCACCACCCAGUCUGCUCCCUCUCAUCGUACCAGUGGUCACCAUGAUAAUCUGUACAGUCGUCAUCAUUGUCGUCAUUAUCCUCUAUCUACGGUGCUGUCAUCGGACGGCGGGAGAUAAAGUCUCAGACGUUGAAAAAAGCAAAAAGACAGAGAAGACAAAAAGUACUGUAGGAGGAGAUAUGCCGUUGUUGAGCUUAGGAGGUUAUGAAAAAGAUGCAGAGUCCGUCCUAAAUGGAGCAAAAGAUCAACUGAGAGAAAUAAAGAGCCUUGAGAAAAACCUAGGAAUUUCUGUUAAAGAAUUUAAAAACUUGAUGUGGCAUGCGACAUCAAUCUUAAAGUUAAUUGAUGAGGGUAUUGAUGAAGAAAGUGAGCCUAAAAAUCUGAAAGACGAACUGUUUUCAGAGGUGAACAAAAGGGGUAAGUUAAAGGUAGUCUCGCGUUAAAUUCUGCUUGAUGUGUUUUUUAUAGAUUGAUAUUUUGCAUUUAAAAAAGAUUUUGCUCAAUGGAAACCAAACCUUUGAAGUAUCUUCAUGGAGCUGGAAAUGUAGGUGUACAUCUUUUAGUUGAUGUUGAUACUUGUACAUGUAUUGUACCACAAUAAAAUAAGACAUGGAAAAACAAAGUCUGUUCUAACAUUUACUUUUCAGCAUUGUCUGAUUUUAGCAAGUAAAAUAAGUUAAUGAGACCGAAUUGAAAAAGAAAAAAAUACAUAAAAGAGAAAACGGUAUACCAUUUUUUCCUUUUAAAAAAAACCUAUUGGUCCUCACGAAUGGUUUUGAAUUAGUAUUGAUUCGGCUCGCCUUGUGGGCUCAAGUAGGUCCAGUACAAAGCCUUGAAGGGACCCCAAGGGACAACGCCAAGAAGCCUAUAAAUUCUAGAUACAUGAAUUUAGUAGAGGAUAGUUCUUUUCGUUGCUUUUGCAGUCGCAAAAGAUCCAAAAGACAAACCGGACGACGACGACGAUGACGAACCGAAGAAGAGAAGAAUAGAAAGUGCGCGGGAAAAACAGAAUCGUCUGUUCACCGAGACGAACAAAGUCUUGAACGAUGGUAAAAAGUUCAUCAAAGAAGCCAACCAAAAAGACAUCGAAAUACGGAAUUUUACAAAAGACGCUAAGAAAGCUUUAACCCAAGUCAAAGAUCGUGUGCGUGCUAUGAAGAAGCCUACAGAUAAGAAGAAGGAUGGUAAAUUCGGGAAAGGUGAGGAGAGCAAGCCGUUAUUAAAAUGAAAAAAAAAACCCCGAGGAAAGUGACUUCGAAAGUACCACCAUGCAACCGUUUCGUAAAUUUCUUCUCAGCGACAUUACGUACAGAACUACAUUGGCAGAUUGCUAUUAGAAUGAAUGCAAGAGAUAAGUCUUUGUGGACUUUAUCAAAUCUGUUGUAAAGAAUGGUGCUUCGACUAAUUACAGUAAAUUUUGCAAAUACUAGUAUACUUUUUCAUCAUUUUUUUUUAUAUGGAAGGUUAUUUUAUGCUCAAUAUACAAGAUCUACAUGUACCUGUUUUGUGUGAUAUUAAAUAUUUAAUCUGUAUUUAUUCUGUAAAAAAAAAAGCGUAGAAGUCGUCGUUUGUUUUCAGUAUAUUUCGAUUUUAAUAUCAUGGGUAAAAUUAGAUUUACAUGUAUAUGACGUAUUGUGUUAUCCAUUUGUAUUUAAUUUACAUGUACAGAUUAUAAUAAUUUUCACUUCAAUGUACAAUCGCACUUGGGACUGUUGUAAUUUUAUUGCAAGUUCACUUUGUCUUCAAAACAAUCAUUUGAGAUUUUCUGGUUGUAUAUAUAUAUAUUUACAUUGUUUGUACUUGAUAAUAUUUGUACUAGUC
rnacentral:misc_RNA from 1 species